CACCCAGAAGACCUGAUGCUUACCUGAAGAGGUAUGAGGGCUGCAGGGGUCAGCUGCUGAGCUGAGGCUGUUUGGAGUGGGUAGUGGCUGGUUUUUGGACUGAGGUCAUCUUCAUGGUGCUGGGAUUGCCUGUGGGCAUGUUCUAUAGGGCUGUCUGGAAGUGAAGGUGCAGCUGAUUCAGCCUUCCCUUGUCAGAUGCUCUUCAUUGUAGAUAAAAGCUUUUUCUGAUCAUUCUAGUUCCCAUGGCUGGGAAGGGGUUUAUAAAUGGCAAAGGCUGUCCUGUGGGUCAGCGCUUUAGGAAGUCUUUCUCAUCUGUGCAUCCCAGGAGCAGGUUGGCAAACCAUCCUCCUUACUUAAAUGUGCUGGCAAGAACAAGCAUCUCUGUGCUUGAACUUCAACCCACUCAGGGUGGCAGUUCCUGUGGCUGCCCUGUGCUUUGGAUGAGCUUUGGGAUUUGCCCAGCUGUGGCUGAAGCUCUAGCUCUUGCUGGGUAUAGAGGAAUGAGGCCCAGGGCUUGGCUGGAGGCUGCUGGAGCUGCACAAAUCCAGUGCACACAUCUGCAUGCCUGACCCUGCUUGGGUUAAAGCAGGGGGUUGAGUCCUAUUGUCUGUGGAUAAAAGCUUUCUGUUUCUGCUAUUUCUCUGUUUUCCUAAGUGCUUAUUGCUAAGAAUAACUGCUAUUUCACCUCUUGCCUGCCCUCCAUCAGCUGCUUGGGGCCACCAUUUUAAACGUCAUCUUGAGCUGCAAAGAGUAAGUGAUCUUGUUUUCCAGAGGCCCUGUUUGAAGGAGCAGCAACUGGAUUUUGCCUUCAUUUGCUCUUUAAGGAGCUGCCACAGGAGGAAAGGGCCUGUGUUUGCCAGCUCCUCACAGCCCUUGCUGAGAAGCUGCACCACAGCAAGCGCUGAGAAGGAAUCAAGCAUGCUGGCAUCACACUGGGCUGGUUUUCCUCUUGGAAGUCAAAAGUGGAGCAAAGCCACAACUGAGACAAGGUGACUUUCAGUUUAUUCAAUGCAUUGCUUACUUAAUGCCUACUAACAGAUCUCUGGAGCACACCUUGCCCUCCUCCUCACUCUCAGCUUGUCCCACAGCUCCUGCAUCAGAAAGAGCUUGUUACUGUGCUAGUGGAGCUAAAAGGGCUGUGUCAGUGUUGCAACUCUUAUUUCGUUGCAGGCGCAAGGGCCCAGCAAACACAGCUCCAGCUGGGAAGAUGAGAUGUGAGGGCUCCAGGCUUCUUCCCAGCAACCUUCUCUGCUAAUAACUGCAGGGAAACCAAAACAAUACAAAUAACCUGGCUUUGGCUGCUAAAAUCCAGGUAAAACAAAGCAGUGAAAAGCUGUGAUAGAGACCUUGGAGAUCCUUUCUCUCUUCCUUUGCUCUUGCACUAAACCAGGGUCUUCCCUGGGCUCUGGGCCCUAACUGGGGGAGGCAGUUUCUGAAAGCAGCACAAGGGAGUUUUGUUUGUUCUUUGCUUACCGCUUUCUCUGACCUCCGGUGCUGGGCUGGAAGCAGGGUCUGUACCAGGCAGGAUGUAGGCCCCAGAGGGUCAUGGCAGAGAACCACUGUCAUCUGAGGUGAUUUUUAACACUAAACUGUGUGACUCACUUUGCUGACACUACCGCUCCUUGCUGCAGAGCAGAACCCUUCACACCAGAGCAGUCUCUUGCACCAUCCCUGGGCUGAGUCAUGAUUGCCCUCCCCUCAACCAGGUCCAGCUUCAUCCUGCCCUUCUGCUUCAGACUAAUUUACUUACUGGUGAAUGGCUUAAGAAGAUGUGCCCCUGCUUCCCAUCCCUAUGCUGAUGGCUGUGAGACUGUGGGAUCUGUCCUUGCCUCACUGCUGUGUAAUGGGACUGAUAGUCCUGAGAGCACAUGGAAGGCUCCUGGGGGCACCAAAGUACACAGAUUCCUAGGGCAGGAGCACCAAAAAGCAGAUUGAAAGCUCUGGGGCACCCAAAAAAAGCACACCAAGGCCCUUGAGGACACUGGAAAAGAAACAGAGGGGCUCCAAGGGUACCCCAAACCACCCUGAGGAGCAAUAUUGGAGAAACAGACCAGUGCUGGUUUCCCUCUCAGAUCUCCAACUAGCUAAGAAACCACAAAAGCAAACCAAGAGGUUGAGAAAACCAGAGGGGAGACACAGGGAUUCCAAGGACUGAAAAGAAGACAGAGGGUUUUGAGGGACCUUGGUAGCAUCAACGAGCAUAUACAGGGGUGUGGGGGGCAAGAUAAAUGGACCAAAGCCUCUGGGGACAUUGGAGGGGCACCAAAACCAAAUCCAUUGCUUAUGUAAGUGAUCUGAUUCAUUUUUCUCAGCAGAAGGAGUCCUGUGUCUGUCCUCUUGCCUCUGUGUGCUGGCAUCCAGGCUUCAGAUGAAUUUCAUGGUCUGUAAUCAUCCCGGGAGAAUUUCCCUCUUGUUCAUCCUACGGAAGAGAAACUCUCCCAUUUCCACUUGGAUCUUACAAUAGCUUGUCAGUGACAAAACAUUCCCAAAUCCUCUCAUUUAUCAAAUGGCCAAUCCUGUUAACAGCUUAAGAAACAUAAUUACCUGCAAUCUC